rnacentral:rRNA from 1 species
GGACGGGUGAAUAAUGCCUAGGAAUCUGCCUGGUAGUGGGGGAUAACGUUCGGAAACGGACGCUAAUACCGCAUACGUCCUACGGGAGAAAGCAGGGGACCUUCGGGCCUUGCGCUAUCAGAUGAGCCUAGGUCGGAUUAGCUAGUUGGUGGGGUAAUGGCUCACCAAGGCGACGAUCCGUAAUUGGUCUGAGAGGAUGAUCAGUCACACUGGAACUGAGACACGGUCCAGACUCCUACGGGAGGCAACAGUGGGGAAUAUUGGACAAUGGGCGAAAGCCUGAUCCAGCCAUGCCGCGUGUGUGAAGAAGGUCUUCGGAUUGUAAAGCACUUUAAGUUGGGAGGAAGGGUUGUAGAUUAAUACUCUGCAAUUUUGACGUUACCGACAGAAUAAGCACCGGCUAACUCUGUGCCAGCAGCCGCGGUAAUACAGAGGGUGCAAGCGUUAAUCGGAAUUACUGGGCGUAAAGCGCGCGUAGGUGGUUUGUUAAGUUGGAUGUGAAAUCCCCCGGGCUCAACCUGGGAACUGCAUUCAAAACUGACUGACUAGAGUAUGAUAGAGGGGUGGGUGGAAUUUCCUGUGUAGCGGUGAAAUGCGUAGAUAUAGGAAGGAACACCAGUGGCGAAAGCGACCACCUGGACUAAUACUGACACUGAGGUGCGAAAGCGUGGGGAGCAAACAGGAUUAGAUACCCUGGUAGUCCACGCCGUAAACGAUGUCAACUAGCCGUUGGAAGCCUUGAGCUUUUAGUGGCGCAG